rnacentral:rRNA from 1 species
ACGCUCGACACCUACGAGAGGCAGCAGUGGGGGAUAUUGCACAAUGGGGGAAACCCUGAUGCAGCAACGCCGCGUGAAGGAUGAAGGUUUUCGGAUUGUAAACUUCUGUUCUUAGUGACGAUAAUGACGGUAGCUAAGAAGAAAGCUCCGGCUAACUACGUGCCAGCAGCCGCGGUAAUCUGAGCGGGCUGGCAAGGC